CCGGCAUCAUAAAGGGCAUGUUCGGUUACAAGCUCUUUUUGCUUCAGCACUGAUAUAUCUUUCAGCCGAUGAAAGUCCUCCUGAUCGUCGACCUCUACUCGGCUGUUAUCGUUGGAACUGGUUCGUGGAUUGCCCCAACAAGAAGAAAAACCUCAAGGAAGGGAAGAAGAAGUAAAGAAAAAUUAAUUCUUCCAUUCAUGAAUAGACGAUGGAAGAUCGGUAAUAAAGAAAAGAUCUUUUUGAGGGUUGAAGAACUACC
rnacentral:lncRNA from 1 species